AAAGAAACAGGGAAAGAAGAGAUGUUUUGGUUUUCACUUGUUAUCUUUUUAGCAGCUUCUGGAGAUGUCCAGUCACAGAUCCAAUUGGUGGAAUCUGGAGGUGAUGUAAGAAAACCUGGACAGUCUCUCCUCAUCUCCUGCCAAGCCUCUGGGUUCACCUUUGGAGAUUACUGGAUGUCCUGGAUACGACAAGCACCUAGGAAGGGCUUGGAAUGGGUAGCACAUAUUCAAUACUGGGCUGGUGAUGCAAAAUACUAUGCCAACUCAGUGAAAGGGCGCUUCACCAUCUCCAGGGACAACCCUUCAAGCAAGUUAUACCUGCAAAUGAAUGAUUUGAAAUCAGAGGACACAGCUGUAUAUUACUGUGCAAGGGACACAUUGAGAGGAAGGAAAUCUGAUACCAGACAAAAACGCCCUUUGCUUGCCUAA